AAACACAAACAAAACCCACACAUUGUUUUAGUGUCUGAGAGUAUAUUUGUGUAGCGGGUACAAUGGGGGAAAUGGGGAAUGCAGCUUGAUGCCCUGCUUUCAGGUGCUAAUUGAUUAGACCAGGUGGUACAGCGCUUAAAUAAGCCAGCUGACUAGAGGACAUGAGAGCGGUCUGUUUGAAACGGUGAAUCAGGAAGUUGGUGUGUCGGUGGUGCAUAGCGGAGAUUCUCAGCCUGGGGCGCGUUACGCUACGUUCGCUACGAUAAAGAGUACACAGUGACUAGUACAUCCACACUGGUUUUAAGAAUACAGAAGCUACGCUGACAUCGGAGAGUGUACAGGCUACAGCUUGUUUACUAUCCAUACUGGUUCAAUCACGUUAAAACUAAAGCGAGUGCAUACAGCUCGUAUUUCAUCUACACCGGUUUUAAGAAUGUGAGGUUACUAGCUCCCUUUUCCCUGGUUGAUACGAAGCCUAGUACUUAUAGGUCUGACUCUUUCCUGUUUGUCAUUGUCCAGACAGAAGCUACGCCUACAUAGGAGAGUGUACAACUUGUUUACUAUACAUACUGGUUCAAUCACGUCAAAACUAAAGCGAGUGCAUACAGCUCGUUUCUCAUCCACACUGGUUUUAAGAAUGUAAGUUGAUGUUGGUCUGUUGGUCACAUUUGUUAAUAUGAAGUUAAAAAUAAAAGACAGUUUAGAAAAAGCAAAGCUGUUAUGUAAUAGGAACACUUAAGAGAGUAACCGUGUCUUGUCUUUGGGCUAUUAUUUGGAAAUGAGAUGUGCAUAUGAGGAUGUAAGGAUGUCAGGAUGUUUGCUAUUUGAUUAGCUAAAAUAAAUACUGAAAACCAAACAACUCGAGGAAACCCGUCUUGGAUCGCAGGAGUGUCAUGCAAUGUUGAUUUCUAGUGAGCAGUUGACAGUAACUGAUGGCUAGAAGGAGCUAUGUAAAACAUGGAAGUGAGCUAACUGAUGGCUAGAAGUAGGCUAUGUAAAAAAACGCGUAUCAUAUGGCAGACUCCUUUGCGAUACAAGAGCGGUUCUCUUCAAGUUGUUUGGUUAGGCUGAAAGGAAAAGGGCUAAAAGGCAGUUCUCUACUGACGUUGUCCUGAACUUCCUUGAUGGCAAUUUGAGCGACAUACAGGGCCUUGUAGAGACAGAUGAUGAAGUGGAAGAUAGGAAUUGGACUAAUGCACAGCAUGAUGAUGAAGAUGAAAGUUGUAGUAGUAGCAAUGAGGAAGAUGAAGGUAUUGACCAGAAAUAGACCUGAAACUGGAGAAGGGGUUCCAACACUUAGACACGCAACAGAGGCAAGGGAGAGGCAAAGGAAAAAGUAAAGAGAAGGAGAGACACACACAGCUGAAAGUGUUGACAAGACGAGCUCAGAAGAAGAGAGUGCAACAGCAACACAUGCCACAAGAACAAAAAUCUGCAAAGAAAAAGACAAAGGAGUACAGAUGGAGAAAAGCCGACUUUGAAGGUCCAGACGUUCAAUUUGAUGACUGUGUAGAUGAAGCAAUUGAAGAAAGGUCUGAGUUUACGCCAUAUAUGUACUUCAAGCAAUUUGUGACAAAUUAAAUGUUCGUUAGUUGCAGACCAAACAAACCUGUACAGUGUGCAGAAAGAAGAAAUAUCAGUCAACACAACUGUCAAAGAAAUUGACUUCUUGGUAUGUACAUGGGUUUGAUACAGAUGUCCAAUGUUAGAGCCUAUUGGGAAUUACAAUACAAGGUACCCUAAAGUUGCAGAUGUAAUGUCAUGGGACCGAUUACAGAAAUUGCUGACGCUGCUCCACUUCGAAGACAAUCUCUGUGUGACUGAAGAUGUAAUGAAGGAUACAAUGUGUUAACUCAGACCAUGGCUUGAAAAGCUACAACAGCAAUACCUUCAAAUACAUCCUAAAGAACAUCAUACAACUAUUCAUGAAACACUUGCAUUUAGUAUAUUUUGCACACACCCACACACACACACACAUAGGCUAAACACACACACAGCUAUUCAUUAAAUACUUGCAUUUUGCCAGACACCAAAAGGAACCACAUUGAUGUUGGUAAGGCUCAGCCCACUGUUCUUCAGAUACCUGCAAUGGGGUCAGGUUACUGUUAAUGCAUUGUUCCCUUUAAAUUUAUGGUGUUGGCAGAUGCUUUUAGUCUUACACAACUUACAUUAUAAGAACACUACAUUAAUUAAAACUAAUAGUUUCAAAUAAAGCUGAAAAUAUCAACAAUGUUUUUAUAUAC